rnacentral:tRNA from 1 species
GAUCUAAUUUCCCGUUGUUCCUCAAUAGCUCAGUGGUAGAGCGAUCGGCUGUUAACUGACUGGUCGUAGGUUCG